rnacentral:sRNA from 1 species
UGGUAGAUGCACCCUGGUUUAGUCCUAGGCUUUAUGUCUAGGACUUUUCUAA